rnacentral:tRNA from 1 species
CAAAAUAUAGCUUAUUUAAAGCACUUUGCUUACACCAAAGAAAUGUCCCCUAACCCAGACUAUUUUGAA